CCCAUCCCACAGCCCCAACAGGAAUGCCUGUUGCCAUUUCACAGACCAGAAAGCUGAGGCUUGGAGGAGACCAUGAGACUUUUUAAUUGUCCCAAUGUGAGAGCGCCCCAGGGCCGGUCCUGGCUCCUCAAACUCAUGCCCACCCAGACCUUCCCCCCGGCCUGUGCACAGACGGAAGUAGCUAAGGCGAGCUAAUGCUGGCUGCAGGCAGUGCCUUCAUCAGAGCGGGGACGGAGAUGCAGACACAGACCCGCAAGCCGCAGGGUGGAGGUAUGGCUGGAGCAAACCCGCAGCUGCGGGGACAGCCGACGUCUUGCCUCGGGAAUGCAGGUGGCGCUGCUGUAGGCAGCCCCAGAAACCCACGCCCAGCCGCCAGGAUUUCCACCCCAGCACACGCUCCCCAGCGCGGGACCUCCCACCGCGUCCCCGCCUCCCUGAGCCCCCUCCUCCACUUUCCCGGGGUCCGCGCUUCUUUGUCCAGGGUGCACGUUUUUGCUCCCUCCCAGGCUGCCGCUGACCGCCCGGGCUUGCCGUGGCCGGGGACACCCACGCUUCCAGCGCACAGCGAGCUGGACACAGGUUGGAAGGGCAUUCUUUUCGUUUUGUCUGUGGAUAUUUCUGAGAUAACAAGCACCCUGUCGAGUUAGUGGACGUCGCCGAACAUUGCCAGAUUCUCUUGAAAAAUUCCACGGGAGGCCCCCUUCCAUAGAGUUCACCCCAAAUGGCAGGCUGGCUGUUGUCCUCGCCCGUCCUGCCUGUUCAGCCAACCUCGCCUGCCCAGCUCACCGGAAUCCUUCAUGUUCCAUAGGAGGAGGAGGUGUUGCUGAGUGUAGCUGCCAGUGGCCGCCAGUGACCUCGACCUCGGCACCACGCUGCUGUAAUCUCGCCUGCUGGGGGUUAGAAGAGCACCCCUGGGUGAUGGAAAGACCCCAGUGGCGCCUGUGUUUGGGGAUUUCCUGGGGGUGCUGGAUACCACCCGGGGCACAAGCCUCAGAAACACCUGGAGCCGAGCCCUGAACCCGGGACCCUGGCUGCAAGAGCAGAAAGGAGGGCACUGAGGCCACGGUGGCAGGGCCGUCUGCCUGACCGGGGUGCCCAGGGCUGCUUCUGCUCGGGGCUCCCCGGCUGGUGGAACAGGGAUCUCUGUUCAGAGGGUCAGACCACGAAGCUGGCCCUGGAAAGCCAAGUCCUCCUGGGACGUUGCUGCUCGCUGCCAGCAGGAGCCCGCGUGCACCUGUGUGUUCCAGCGGUGUGGCAGAGGUGGCUUCCUCGCCUCUCCCCACCACCUCCUCAGCCAGGAGGCGCCUGGCUCCAUGCCUUAGCGGUGGUGUUCAUCUCUGUCCUGAACCAGUCCUUGUCAUCUGAUGUAGGAUGUUGGACGGCGAAUCAGCCUCAGAGUUGAAUUGAAGGAUGUGAUGGAAACGGUAGUGAGAUUGCUCCUCCCACCCGAGUUCGUGGGUUAAAGUUCAGGGUCUCCUCCACCGGGUGCCCCUCAUAGUGCCCUCCCCAACACUUGCUUGCCUUUCAGGAAGGAACCAUGAUUCGCCUUGACGCAGAGUAAGGGUCUGGGGACUUUGAUGGCAUUGACUUUGCUGCAGCAUCUCCACGUGCAACCCAAGGGUUGCUCUUGGAAAGGAGGCGAGCCAGCACUGUCACCCUGGAGGGUAGCUCAUACGUGGUGGGGAGUGCCGGAAUUGCACCCUUAGCCUCAUUACACCCACCCCAAACCGGCCAUGGCUGCAGCACGUUGGUCAGUGGGAGCGCUCUGGAGGUCCGGCGCCCAGGAUGGGGCAGAUGGGGCGAGCACACCCUCCCUCUUCAGGCGUUCAGCGUGCCUGCUCUGCCUGGAGUGAGCUCAGGUUGAGAUCCACUCACGCGUUCUCUGUGUAGCCCCUGUGUGCCUCGGUUUCCCAUCUGUGUGUGCAAGCACGCACCUGUGUGUGUGUAUUGUUGCCAUAAUUCAAGUCUCUGGUUUAGUGAUCCAUGUGCUAAGUAUCCCACCUUUUGUUUUAGUUCAGCUUUUCAAAAUGCAAUACGCAUGAUCUGGUUGCAUAAAAGUAAUGAGAGAGUUUUAAAAAUGGGGUGAUGAAACCUGACCAUGAGGGACAAAGUCAGUCUGGGAUCUUUGCUCUUGUUGCAACACAUGGGAAAUUCUGUCUGUGCAGAAAUUUGCACAGUGACAUGUCAAUGCAGGAAUAGUGUUUUCUUAAGCGGUGACCGGAAAGAGUACUUUAAAAAAGAUUUAUUUGUUUAUUUGAAAGGCAGAGCUACAGAGAGGCAGAGGCAGAGGCAGAUGCAGAGAGAGAGAGGUCUUCUAUUCACCGGUUCACUCCCCAAAUGGCUGCAACUGCCAGAGAUGGGCUGAUCCAAAGCCAGGAGCCAGGAGCUUCUUCCAGGUCUCCCACAUGGGUGCAGGAGCCCAAGGGCUCGGACCAUCUUCUACUGCUUUCCUGGGCACAUUAGCAGGGAGCUGGAUCAAAAGUGGAGCAGCCAGGACUCAAACUGGUGCCCACAUAGGACGCUGGCACUGCAAGCAGUGGCUUUACCCACUAUGCCACAGUGCCAGCCCUGAAAGAAUACCUCUCAAAAAUGUCUAAAUGACAGCCUGAAAAUGAUUUAGUCCAGGAACUGUCCAGUUUGAUUGAGCAUCAGAAUUCCCUAGAGUCUAUGAAGACCUGGUUUGCUGCUAUGGAUGGUGCAUACUCCUUAGAUUUGGGUUGGGCUGGCCUGAGAAUGUGCAUUUCCAACAAGCUCCCGAGUGAUGCUGAUUUGGGGAGCCUAGCAUGAGAAGUACGGAUCUGACCACUCGUUCUGAGACUCGGCUGCACAGUGGGCUCUGCCAGGGAGCUUAAACACCAGUGAUGCUGGGGCUGCCUCCCUGCCUCCAGCUUAAUUUCUGUGGAGUAGGCUGUGGGCAAUGGGGACUGGUGCAAAGCCCCCUGGAUGACUGUACUGUGCAGCCAAGUUUGAGAACUGCUGGUGCGGGGUGCAUUGCAGUGUGUUCAGUACAGCACAGGUGUUGGAAGCCCAGAGCAUUUAAAGUGGCAGAUUGUCUCAUGAAACUUACGAAUACAAAGUGAAGUCCUAAAUGUCCUACCCUAAUGAAACCAACCCAGGCAGCCAGGAGACGGGGCACUCACAGACUAUGCAUGAACCAAAAUAAAUGACAGGAACAUUUUCUCAGACCACAACUUGCCACAUGUCAUACCGGGAUGGCUGGCUUUGUGGGGACAGGAGCCACAGGCACAGUACACUUGACUGGCCUCACAUGCUGUCCCCUUAAGGAACCCAUGCCAACUCCUGCGAUCAGCCCCCAUAACUAGUAUCACUUUAUUUCCAAACAAUUUGCCUUUAUCCCUCGUCUUCAUCUUUAGAACCUUCUUGCCUCAGCCUCCUUGGCUGCACCUGCAGUCUUCCCUGGCACACAUGUCCCAGAUGGCAGCCCCCUGCUAGUCUUGAAUAAGCUCUGUCUUUGGAGAGCCUGUCUCUUCUGUCAUUAUUUGAGGCUGACAUCACAGGUUGAUUGUCCUGGAUGGUUAUCAAUGGAUGGACGGGGAGUAGGUUGUGCCCAGAGUCUCAGGAGUGUUGGCCUUGCUAGUGACAACUGCCCGACAGUGGUUCUCAGGCUCCUGGAAGGCCAAAGAAUAUUCUUUGAUUUCAGGCAUUUGUGUCUUGCCAUGUUCUUGUUACACACAAGCAGCUCACUGCUAACUCAGCAGUAGGGAGUUUAGUGAAAGGAUUCUGGGUGAUUGGAAGCUGCCCUUCUGAGAGCAAUGCACAAAUCCAAGCCUACGAUGGCCUGAUGAAGGAACCGCCCCUGCUGCCCAGCCUGAUGCUAGGAAACCUACUGGGGCCACUGCCCUGCCAGCAAAUAGACUUUGCAAACUGCUGGCACCUCUGGAAGCCAGGCGCCUGCAGUGCUGCCCUCAGCACUCAGGUGGGCUUUCCAGGAAGUACAGUUCUCAGCUGCCUGCAUGUGAUUGGAGGGGCUCCUGCACCUGCUCUAUCUUGGCUGGGAAGCCCAGCGAUGCAGGUUUGCACCGAGUCUGGCUCUGUGGGACUGGGAAUUUGGCAGCCAGGAAGUGCCAUGGUGAGACUGGUGUUGGUGCUAUUCCACAGCCCCUUGGCUCGUGGUGUUUUCUCUCCUGAGCCUUCCUGACCUUCUCCAUCAGUGUGCUCCACCCCACGGCAGCAGGAAUCCAAUCGUCUCAGUUUCCCCCAUCCUCUCUUCCUUUCGUGGAUGGAUUUUACUGUCAAUGACUGAGCUUUCCCAGUAGCCAAUGUGUGUAGUGACAGCACUAGGGAAAACAACUACUGCACUUGGCUAUGUGAAAUGCUACCCCUUUGACACCAUAGGAGGGCAUGAAUGGAUUCACCACUCUGUGAGUUCCUUGGAUUCCCAUGCAAUGCAAGGAAUGCCAAUGGCAGAGCCAUUUGUGCUGUUAAGAAGUCUUCUAGAUAAAACAGAAAAGAGAAUGUGAUCCAAGCAGACCUGGAGCAUAUCCAGCCGCUUGAGUUGUGGCCAUGGGGCGGCCUGGUUCUAGUUGGAAGUGAGAGCCAAGGGUAGGCCUUUGGGAUGCAAAUUUCACUUGCUUCACCAGGGGCCACAUAGGUGAGCCAUGUAGGCAGGUGUGUCUCUCUUUGUCAUUCUUCUCUCGGUGUGAUGAGGGUAACAGGUCCCACCUGCUGCUGGUGCCUGCCCCUGUGGGCCCAUCCCCUCCAGGACACUAGCUGGUGGGGAGGAUGAGAAACUCGCCCAAGAUCAGGGGCAGAGUGAUUCAAAUAAUCAAUUUUACUAGCAUAUAAAUUGCAUCUUACGCAUAACAAUGCCAUUUAGAGCUGUUCGUUUGCCCCCAAGUAAAGUCUGUGGACUGUCAGGGGUUUUUGUAAAUUGCUCUAUGUAAGAAAACAAGAGCAUGUAAUAGGAGAAAAAUAUGGCAAGACCAUGAUGCUGACAGUUUAUUCACUCCUGGUCUCCUAGUGCUGGGCACAUAGGAAAUAUUUUUUGUUGAGUGAAUAAAUAAAAUGACAGAAUUAAAUAUUUCUUGGGUACCUACUAUGUACUGGGUACUAAACUAGAGACGUGAGAAAGGGAUACAAAAUUGAAUAAAACAAGAUCACUCCCUACAAGGAGCUUGCAAUCCACUGACUCUAUGUUUCUUUAUUGGCAUCACACACACACACAUACACACAUACACACACAGAGUCUCUUUUUCUCUCACAUACACAUGUGCAUGCAUGCACCCUUUUUAAACUUUUAUUUAAUAAACAUAAAUUUCAAAAGUACAA